rnacentral:misc_RNA from 1 species
UCCCAAUCUGGAGAUCAGCAAA